UCCCUGAUAGCUCAGUUGGUAAAGAAUCUGCCUGCAAUGCAGGAGACCCAAAUUGAUUCCUGGGUCAGGGAG
rnacentral:tRNA from 1 species